rnacentral:rRNA from 1 species
CGGGGUGAGUAACGCGUGGGCAACCUGCCUCACACAGGGGGAUAACAGUUAGAAAUGACUGCUAAUACCGCAUAACCCGAUAGGAUCGCAUGAUCCAGACGGAAAAGAUUUAUCGGUGUGAGAUGGACCCGCGUCUGAUUAGCUAGUUGGUGAGGUAACGGCCCACCAAGGCGACGAUCAGUAGCCGGCCUGAGAGGGUGAACGGCCACAUUGGGACUGAGACACGGCCCAA